GAUGAACGCUGGCGGCAUGCCUUACACAUGCAAGUCGAACGGCAGCGGGGGAGAAGCUUGCUUUUCCUGCCGGCGAGUGGCGAACGGGUGAGUAAUACAUCGGAACGUGCCCUGUAGUGGGGGAUAACUAGUCGAAAGAUUAGCUAAUACCGCAUACGACCUGAGGGUGAAAGUGGGGGACCGCAAGGCCUCAUGCUAUAGGAGCGGCCGAUGUCUGAUUAGCUAGUUGGUGGGGUAAAGGCCUACCAAGGCGACGAUCAGUAGCUGGUCUGAGAGGACGAUCGGCCACACUGGGACUGAGACACGGCCCAGACUCCUACGGGAGGCGGCAGUGGGGAAUUUUGGACAAUGGGCGAAAGCCUGAUCCAGCAAUGCCGCGUGUGUGAAGAAGGCCUUCGGGUUGUAAAGCACUUUUGUCCGGAAAGAAAUGGCUCUGGUUAAUACCUGGGGUCGAUGACGGUACCGGAAGAAUAAGGACCGGCUAACUACGUGCCAGCAGCCGCCGUAAUAC
rnacentral:rRNA from 1 species